GGAGGGGCCAUGGCUCAGUGGUAAAGAAUCUGCUUGGUAUGCAGAAGGUCCCAGGUUCAAUCCCUGGCAUUUCCA
rnacentral:tRNA from 1 species